GAUGAACGCUAGCGGCAGGCUUAACACAUGCAAGUCGAGGGGUAGAGUUAGCUUGCUAACUUGAGACCGGCGCACGGGUGCGUAACGCGUAUGCAAUCUACCUUUUACAGGGGGAUAGCCCAGAGAAAUUUGGAUUAAUACCCCAUGGUAUUAUAGAAUGGCAUCAUUUUAUAAUUAAAGUCACAACGGUAAAAGAUGAGCAUGCGUCCCAUUAGUUAGUUGGUAAGGUAACGGCUUACCAAGACGAUGAUGGGUAGGGGUCCUGAGAGGGAGAUCCCCCACACUGGUACUGAGACACGGACCAGACUCCUACGGGAGGCAGCAGUGAGGAAUAUUGGACAAUGGGCGCAAGCCUGAUCCAGCCAUGCCGCGUGCAGGAUGAAGCAUCUAUGGUGUGUAAACUGCUUUUAUACGGGAAGAAGCCCCGCCACGUGUGGCGGACUGACGGUACCGUAAGAAUAAGGACCGGCUAACUCCGUGCCAGCAGCCGCGUAAACA
rnacentral:rRNA from 1 species